rnacentral:rRNA from 1 species
GAGUUUGAUCUUGGCUCAGAUUGAACGCUGGCGGCAUGCCUUACACAUGCAAGUCGAACGGCAGCACGGGAGCUUGCUCCUGGUGGCGAGUGGCGAACGGGUGAGUAAUGCAUCGGAACGUAUCCUGGAGUGGGGGAUAACGUAGCGAAAGUUACGCUAAUACCGCAUAUUCUGUGAGCAGGAAAGCGGGGGACCUUCGGGCCUCGCGCUCUUGGAGCGGCCGAUGUCGGAUUAGCUAGUUGGUGAGGUAAAGGCUCACCAAGGCGACGAUCCGUAGCAGGUCUGAGAGGACGAUCUGCCACACUGGAACUGAGACACGGUCCAGACUCCUACGGGAGGCAGCAGGUGGGGAAUAUUGGACAAUGGGCGAAAGCCUGAUCCAGCCAUGCCGCGUGUGUGAAGAAGGUCUUCGGAUUGUAAAGCACUUUAAGUUGGAGGAAGGGCGUAAGUUAAUACCUUGCUGUUUGACGUUACCGACAGAAUAAGCACGGCUAACUCUGU